GCCUUCUUAGCUCAGUGGUAGAGCGUUGGUCUCGUAGGUGAAAUUAGUCAACCAAAGGUCGAGAGAUCAAUCCUCUCAGGAGGCA
rnacentral:tRNA from 1 species